UUGUACAGUACUUUGUUCAACAGUGCCUGUUUUGAAAUGUGCUUUAUAAAUAAAUUGACUUGAGUUGAUCUUCUGGAGUGAUCCAGUCAGAGUCCUGUCCUCAACCUGACUGAGAUGCUGUGGCAUGACCUCAAGAGAGCGAUUCACACCAGACAUCCUAAGAAUAUUUCUGAACUGAGACAGAUUUGUAAACAAGAGGAAGGGUCCAGAAUUCCUCCUGACUGUUGUUCAGGUCUGAUCUGCAACUACAGAAAACAUUUGGUUGAGGUUAUUGCUACCAGUUAUUAAAUCCAAAGGUUCACAUACUUCUUCCACCCUGGAACUCAGCAGUCCAUCUGAUAUGCAGCAACAGGCUAACAUGCUCAUCUAUGAAGCUAAUAAUUAAAUAUCCUCCUCACCUGGAAAAGCUGUUGGACUCACCUGCUCAGGUAGAAGAGGAGCUGCAGCUUUGAUUUGGCUUCAUCUCUGUUCUAAUGAAACACUUUGUUUUGCUGAUGACUCUCUUGUUUCUGUUCAGAACCUGUCAGGUUGGUGGGAGGAGCCAGUCGAUGUGCAGGAACACUGGAGGUGAAACGAGGAGACUGGAGACCAGUUUAUGGUUCUAACUGGAUACUGACGUCAGCAGCUGCAGUCUGUAGAGAGCUGGACUGUGGCUCUGCUGUUUCAACACGAAGCAGAGAGGACUCCUCAGACAGACCUGGAUGGGAGAUCAGCUCCGACUGUGUGGAGUCUGGAUCUGCUCUGAGGGAGUGUGUGUCAUUAGGUUCAUCUUCCUCAAUUAUGGAGAUCACCUGCUCAGAUCCAGCAGUUGUUAUCUCCAGACUGGUGGUCCUGCCGCUGUUGUUCAUCGCUGCCAUCUGUUUCAUCCAUAAGGCCACCAGGUGGCAGAGGCCAGACCCACAGGAGAACAUGGAGCAUGAUUAUUAUAACCUCGGUGUUUGCAGAGCUGAAGGGGGGCCGGCUGAAGAGGAAGGAGCCAAGGCAGCAGAGUAGGAGCUCCUCCCACAUCCAGAUGGAUUUCUCAGCUGCCACACAACUGUCCAUCAGCUCCGUCAAGGAUUUUCAGUUACACCAGAUGUUUUACCUUUAGACUUCUACUGAAAUGAGACCAGAAAAAAAGAUGACCAAGAACCAAACCCAGCCCAGUAUCUCUGGGAAUUAUGUCCAAAUACGUCAGCUGUUGGAGGUCGGGGUCGUCUAAUGUGCGUUUGCCUUUUUUUUUAACUGAAGCCACAAUCUUUCCAUACUGCUAACCUAGUGUUGUCUAACUCUGUGUAAUAGGUUCUCUGUGGGCUCUAAUACCAUAUAGCAUUAAUAACAUCUUAAAUAAUAAGUUAAGUACAGUCUGUUGAUCAAGUGUACUGGUGUCCAGAUUUCAGUUUACAUUUAAAAGCCUGAAAAAACUAAUUCCAGACAGUGGCACCAAAAUGUUAAUAAUUCUUUAGAGAAAACACACAUCUGACACCAUUCUGAUUAUCUGUACUUGGUUAAGACUUUAUUUUAAAAAUCCAUCCAGUUGUUUCAUUCUGUAUAUUUCAUCAUUACCGUUUUAGACUGUAUUAUACUAUAUACUUUAUAUGCAUUGUUAUUCAGCUGAAAUAUUUUACUUUCGCUAUUGUUAUUUGUUAUUUGAGUAUUGAAACAAUAAAUGAAAGUCAUUGAGUCAAAUCAAAUGUUUGAUCUCUGUUAUUAGUAGUUUGACCAGAGUUACAGCUAACUGUAUUAAAAGCACAGUACUUUUACAAAAUAUUAUACUAGUAAGUAUUUGUUGUGACAGUUUGAGGCAAAUAAAUCACUUUUGAACUUUGUUGGUUUUACAUCCCAAAAAUAAUUUAGAUGUUUACGAGUUUGGUCAGUUCAGCACAGCUGUCCUUAUGAAGUUAAUUUGUUAACUUAGGUUCGGGAGCAGGGCCACGCCUCCACCACACCUCCAUCACCUGUCAAAGCUACAUAUACCGCUCUGUUCAGCCUGCCCUGCUUGUUUCAGAUGGCUCGAUGCAAGACCGACAACGAUCCACGCUCAACAGCCUAUGCUUAACAGCACAAUCACAAUCAUGGAUCCAGAGAACCAAAACCACAACUCGAUUCAGAAAACGAUCCAUUCAAAACAGAGUGACGUUAAGUUCCAAGCAGAUCUCAGUCAAGUGUCUCAGGGGAGCAGCUUGCGAUCCAGGGCCAGGAUCUCCAGUUCUCAAACAAGAUAUCCCCGACUCCCUGUGGCUCUCAGGCCUUUUCCUCUCCAUCAGCGAGGUCAGGAAAUUGAGGACGUCACGGGAGUCGGCAUCAACCCUUUCUUUGUCAGCAGCCUUCCUCCCAUACAAACACCAGCUACUCUACAUGGCGCCCGCCUCUGCAGCACGGCAUUAGAGACUGGACCGUCGCCCGCCUUCAACGAUUCCUCAGAGGGAAAGGCAUUCCCUUCAACUGCAACUUAGCCUCCAGCAACACUCGUGCAACAACAAACACCAAGCCUCGUGCACUUCUGGUUUCUCCGCCAGGGUCGGCCAUGGCCACUGGCGUCACGCAUGACGUCACAGGGCCUCAGCGGCCACAGCAUGCAUCUCCAGCUCCCCCUGGCGGGGGUCAGGUUGUAUUUCCCCAUGUGCCUGCUCCCUCUGUGUCUGAAAUGUCGCCGGCGAUUUCUGCCUCCUUGUCAUCCCUGUGUUCGCAUGCUUCACAAAACUCUUGUGCACAUACAUCCUUUCAUCCAUCAUCCCUUCCUCUAACCUUCCUUCCUAGCAAUACAACUUCUGCUCCUCUCUCUUUCCAAGCAGCCAACGCAACAAUUCAAGAGCCCCUCACAACAACUCAAUGGUCCUCACUAUGCGAGUUGGCAAACCUCAGCUUUCUUCUCCAUCUCCAACUGGUCUGUCCUUACCCCAACCCCCUCUGUCCAUCCCUACAUCUUCCCUUCCCCAACACCCAAAUGUUUUACGUGGGUGGUGUGGUGUGGGGACAGAGAGGAAGCUUUUAAACACCAGAAGAGAAACCGAGAGAGAUUAUGCGGACAUGACGGGUGUGCUAAUCGUCCUACUUGAUAGAUAAAAUUAAUUAAUUGUUCUUUCUAUACUAUUGCUGUUGCUGGUCAAGCGGCUAAUUUACGGCAGGCCAAAACAGCCUUCAGGCCAACAGUAAAUCUCCUGACCCUCCGGGCGGCCAAUCCACUAGUGCCUCUAACUUUCUUAUAGGCCUAUUCACACUUCGAAGAAUUAAACGGAUCA